UGGGGAAUUUUGGACAAUGGCGCAAGCCUGAUCCAGCCAUGCCGCGUGCGGGAAGAAGGCCUUCGGGUUGUAAACCGCUUUUGUCAGGGAAGAAAUCUUCUGAGUUAAUACCUCGGGAGGAUGACGGUACCCUGAAGAAUAAGCACCGGCUAACUACGUGCCAGCAGCCGCGGUAAUACGUAGGGUGCAAGCGUUAAUCGGAAUUACUGGGCGUAAAGCGUGCGCAGGCGGUUUUGUAAGACAGAGGUGAAAUCCCCGGGCUCAACCUGGGAACUGCCUUUGUGACUGCAAGGCCUGAGUGCGGCAGAGGGGGGAUGGAAUUCCGCGUGUAGCAGUGAAAUGCGUAGAUAUGCGGAGGAACACCGAUGGCGAAGGCAAUCCCCUGGGCCUGCACUGACGCUCAUGCACGAAAGCGUGGGGAGCAAACAGGAUUAGAUA
rnacentral:rRNA from 1 species